UCAUAAGGUCAUGGAGGUGCAUUGACCUUAUUUGUAGUUUGUGUGAACACGUACAUCACACUGAACUUCGUGUUUUUAAGAUGAUGUGUUGAACAGUUAGUAUUAGUUGUAUUGCUCUCUGUCAGAUCCCGCAGGGAGGGUUCAGUUAGUUCAGCCUCUGGUUAGGGUCACACACACUCUUUCUCUUUGUGUUUAUUUGAAUAGCUUGCAUGUACACACACACCUCUUGCACUGAGUGCUUGUAAUUUGAAUUCGUAAUGUCAUUUAUAAGGCAAAGACACAGAAAUGAUGAGGAUAUGUGUUAAAUAUGUACCUAAUUUCCCAGGGGUCUCACUCUCUGUUGGACGUGUGGCGCAAUGACAUUAUAAUAAAUAUUCUGAAUGAUGCAACAGAGAAAAUAACCAUGUCUGCAACAUAUUGUCCUAGUGUGGCGACACCUACUCACUGAGAGAGGCUUCACUGGAGGGUAAAGCUGCUUCCUUGGAAACUUAAAGGCACCAGCUGUUGACCAGAUAAAUUAUUAUUGCGAAUGGGUGUGUUUUUUCCAGGGACAGGAGCAGUUCAUUGUCCCUGUGCCUUUUCUUCUCAUCCCGGAGGAACAGAGGGAGCUGAUGACAGCUGAUCCCAGUACUGUCUGCUGUCUUAAUUAAUUGCUUUUUUUCAUGACAACCCUUUGGGCAUUCAACCAGAUUUCAACGUGCAUGUGGCGCACUGUGCAUAUGUGUUUUUGUCUCAUGUAUGUCAGUGCGUGCAAGUGCAGACAGUGAGAGAGAGACGCCAAAUGACUUGGCCCCGCCCCCUGAAGAAUCACAUCCAACCAGCGCGUCAAGUGCAAACCAAACAAUGGCCACUCUGGACGCUCUAAGUGGCUCAUGUCCAGAUGAAGGACAUGAAGAGGUUUUGUGUGGAAUAGGGAGAUGUCUGGGGAUGGAGAGAGCCCAUGGGAUAUGUUCACAGAAGAGCCGGCUCUAUUAGACCCAGAACAAGAAAGUCAAUCUCUUUUUUAAAGGAAGUCUCUGAAUUGCCUGUAGCAACAAGCACCCAAGCACAGUUCUCAAAGCAGAUCUCUGGAGGGGUGUCAGUGGACGGCAUUACACUCAAUCAGAGACCGAAAGUCCGUCCCACUCGAGCGAAAAGUCUUUCAGAGACCCCAGUCAGGAGCAAGACAAAGAACGUGCUCUGAGUCGUCCCUCGUGGCUCAUCCGUAAUACAGCCCCACCCUCUGCCCUUAGCGUCUCCACCCACCGGGCCAAAGCCCUUGGCGUCUCCACCCACUAAAGCCAGGAAAGUGAUUGUAAAUGAUGUUAAUGAUAUUUUUCUUUGUCCGAGCUGGGCAGUGUGGCUCAUUUGCGUAAUAUAUGAUUAAUGCUUUCUGUGGGAUUAACCAAAUGAAAACUAUAUAUAGUUCUAAUCUAUUUGUGUAUUGCAUCAGAAAUGUAGCUACAUUGUCCCAGCUUCCCUGUUGCAGGUGCACUCAGAUGGAACGCCUUUUUCCUGUUUGUAUCAUCCACAGCCUCAGGUUGCCACAGCCCUUGGCCAUUUCCAGCGAGUAUGAUGUGUUCCCCACUGACACAUGCUGAUUAAAACAUGCUUGUAAUGUGAUGGCCAAUGAUCUAAGAACUGUUUUUUUUCUUGUACUUACA